rnacentral:rRNA from 1 species
GAUGAACGCUGGCGGCGUGCCUAAUACAUGCAAGUCGAGCGAACAGACGAGGAGCUUGCUCCUCUGACGUUAGCGGCGGACGGGUGAGUAACACGUGGAUAACCUACCUAUAAGACUGGGAUAACUUCGGGAAACCGGAGCUAAUACCGGAUAAUAUAUUGAACCGCAUGGUUCAAUAGUGAAAGACGGUUUUGCUGUCACUUAUAGAUGGAUCCGCGCCGCAUUAGCUAGUUGGUAAGGUAACGGCUUACCAAGGCAACGAUGCGUAGCCGACCUGAGAGGGUGAUCGGCCACACUGGAACUGAGACACGGUCCAGACUCCGACAGGAAGCAGCAGUAGGGAAUCUUCCGCGAUGGGCGAAAGCGUGACGGAGCAACGCCGCGUGAGUGAUGAAGGUCUUCUGAUGGUAAAACUCUGUUAUUAGGGAAGAACAAAUGUGUAGGUAACUAUGCACGUCUUGACGGUACCUAAUCAGAAAGCCACGGCUAACUACGUG